rnacentral:rRNA from 1 species
UACGGGGGGGGCAAGCGUUGUUCGGAAUUACUGGGCGUAAAGGGCUCGUAGGCGGCCAACUAAGUCAGACGUGAAAUCCCUCGGCUUAACCGGGGAACUGCAUCUGAUACUGGAUGGCUUGAGUUCGGGAGAGGGAUGCGGAAUUCCUGGUGUAGCGGUGAAAUGCGCAGAUAUCAGGAAGAACACCCGUGGCUAAGGCGGUUCUCUAGUACGGUACUGACGCUGAGACGCGAAAGCGUGGGGAGCGAAC